CGAGAGGGUGUGGACUGGCAGCCACCCUGCAGCUGGUCGCCGGGGACCCGAUCCCUCCCGCGUGCCCGAGUGAUGGAGGGGAAGACAUUCGCUUAGACACACACACGCGCGCACACAGCUGGGCACGUCUCCCGGAGGCAGCCGCCGGGGGCCGGGCGGCGGCCUGACAGCAGCAGCCGCGGGGAGCCGGGCGCCCACAUAGCUUGGCCCCGGCGGCUCCAAGACCCAGGAAGGGAAGAUCCCAGCCUCACUGAUUGUUGCUCUUUUAGGCAGAUCGGGAGGAAGCAGGCUGCCCGAGGAUCUGUCACCGCGGACGCAGGAGGCUCUCCGCUCGGCGCUCAGAGUCCAGGGCCGCGCCGGUGCAGGCGUUGGGAGAGGAGGAUGCUCACCUCCGCCCGCAGAGCGUCUGCGGGCCCUGACACUGCGCGGACUCCGGCUCCCGCGGCAGCCCCUGUUGUGCCCGCGCCGCGGGAGCGCGCCCUGUCGUACCUGCCUCCAGCCUCUCCGGGAAGUGCAGGAAACGCGCCCUAAACUCCACUACUUCUCGCCCGCCUCCUCCCCUUCUCGGCUCCCCGCCCCGGACCUCGCAGCCGCCGGCGUGUAGGACCCGCCCGCCUCUUACUCUCACGCGCGCACGCACUGCCCCGCUCGCUCGCUCCCAUUCAAGCAGACUGGCUCUCGGUGCAGCCAAAGCCCCGGGCGUCCGAAACUACUGGACCAACUGCCACCGGGACUGCAGGAGGCACCCGUGGCCCGGCGCGACUCUUCGCUGGUCCCCGCGCCCUGGACUCUCGGCCGCGCCGCCGCCGCCGCCGGAGACCUUGAUACAGGUAUUUGUUGUUCAGUUCAAUUCAGUUCAGUCAGGCAGUCGUGUCCGACUUUUUGCAACCCCAUGGAGUGCCAGCACGCCAGGCUUCCCUGUCCAUCUCCAACUCCCGAAGCUUGCUCAAACAUGUCCAUCAAGUUGGUGAUGCCAUCCAACCAUCUCAUCCUCUAUCAUCCUCUUCUUCUGCCUUCAGUCUUUCCCAGCAUCAGGGUCUCUUCCAAUGAGUCAGUUCUUUGCAUCAUGUACUACCUGUACAUGUAAUUUGUAUCAUGUACAUGUAAUUUGUUGUUGCAUAUACAAGAAAUAUAUUCCUUCAGUCUGUGGCUUACCCUUUUAUUUUCUAAAUGAUAUCUUUUGAAGACCAGAAGUUCUGAUAAAUUUUUGAUAAAGUUUUCAUAAAGUCCAAUUUAUUGAUCUUAUUUUCUUAAUUUUAUAUUUGUUGUGUCAAUCUAAAAAAUGCAUCUACAUCAAUGGUCUUAUCCUAUGUUUUAUUGUAGACGUUUCAUAAUUUUAGCUUUUACAUUUAUAAAUAUUUUAUAUUUUAAAUUUAGACCUAAAUUCUAAAUAUGUUUGUGUGUGAUGUGAGGUAAAGAUCAAGGUUCAUUUUUUUUUUCCUGCUUCGCUGUUUAGUUGUUUCAUUUGUUGAAACCUCAAACAAGCAUUUGUUUCUCAUUUUUAAGUAGUUUACAUUCGUGUUCUUUGAAACAUUUGAGACUUAAUUAUUUUUAGGUUUUGCCAGAGAUUCCAUUAGAUAGUGUUAGUUUGCAAAUAGAUUAACAAGAAAUCCAAAUAUUCCUAGGCAUUUAGUAUUAAUCUGAAUACUGGUUUGGCCCAAAUUCAGCCAGAGUGAGGAAAAGACAAGAAUACCCUAUGUAGAACUCUAUCUCAUUAAAAAAGUAAAUAUAAAAGUAGCACAUUAUAUGUUAAUGGAGGACAUUACUCAGGUUGCAAAAUUAAAAUACUAUAAACUUUCAAAGCAGAAUGCCAAAUUGAAAGUACAAUGACUUAAGUAAUGAAAUACCUAGUAAAUCAUUUAUACAAUCGUUUAUUUAGUUUUGAUCAUAGAAAAAUAAUUUAUGGUUUUGUUUUUAAGAGUUUAUUUCUGAAAAAUGGGUAAUUAUAAAAAAUCAUAAACAGUAAUUUAAAUAAAUAAUUCUUCCACUCAGAAGUUAUCACUCUUAACAUAUUGAUGUAUGUUCUUCCAAAUACAUAAUCACAAAGAUCAAAAUGGAAACAUAGUCAAGAAAUCACUGUUUUCCUUAAUACAUUCUAGGUCUCUUUAUGUCUUAGUAAAUGAAUGUUAGAAUUUUAUAGGAUUUUAUUUUGAAAGUUAUACACCUUGGUUAACCACUUGCCUCAAAAUAAAUGUAUGAAUGUUUUUAUUGUUUUGUUUUUUAUUUUUAUCAUAUAACAGUGCUAUGAUUAACAACAGCCUGGUAUGUAAAAUUUUGCAUUCUUGUCUUGCAGUGAGAAAUCUGCCUCUACUGUAUUCUAAAUGGCAGUGUUUACUUCAAAUAAUAGAAUUGGGAGUUCUGUAUCUUUGUUUAUUUAAUGUAUUUAUUCUUAAGCCUGAGCAUUUAAUCUUGAUGACUUCAGUUUUAUCAGAAUAAUUCAACCUAUUGGAACCUUUACAAUCUGGAAGUGAGCCAGAAAGUUGCCAAACUUUCAAGGGCAUUUUAAGGCUUUAAAUGAGUUUAUAUUUGUGAAAAUACAUGAAAAAUGUAUCAAACAUUACUACUAUUGAAAACUGUGGGGAAUAUAAUCAUAUCAUUAAAUAAACAUAUAUGCAGCAAAUGUUUAUUGUGUACAGGGCCCUACUUAGAUGGAAGCAGGCUGGGGAAAAAAUACUUUUCCUGGGUGUCUAGGAGGAGAAAAAACUGGUGAUUAAAUAUGAUG
ensembl:lincRNA